UACGGGGGGUGCGAGCGUUGUCCGGAAUCACUGGGCGUAAAGGGCGCGUAGGUGGUUUGAUAAGGGUGUGGUGAAAGUCCGGGGCUCAACCCCGGAUCUGCCGUGCCGACUGUCAAACUCGAGGGCUGUAGAGGCAGGCGGAAUUCCGGGUGUAGCGGUGGAAUGCGUAGAGAUCCGGAGGAACACCAGUGGCGAAGGCGACACGCUGGGCCGUACCUGACACUGAUGCGCGACAGCAUGGGGAGCAAACAGG
rnacentral:rRNA from 1 species